GUAGAAUGGAAAUAAAAUUGAAAUGAGAACGGAAUUGAAGGUGUUGGAGAAGUAAAGAUUUUAAAAUAUGUCCAAUGAAAGGUAGAGAAACGAAGAGGAAUAAUGUACAAAGGAAGGAGGAAGAAUUGUGCGAUUGUAAAAUAGGUAAAUAAUAGAAUGGAGAAAGGAAUUAAAUAAGGCGAGUAAUGACCCGGUCCGAAUCCUUAAUCCGCAUCAAUUUAAUUUGCCGAUUAUAUCGAGUAACCUUUUUACAAGCGCAAGGAAGCGUGCCAGUGUAUUAGUAUCUCAACCUGGAUACAAAUCUCCACCGCAAAUUGGUAAAGAUGAGGCUAAGACGCAAAUUGCGUUUGAAAAGUAUUUUGGUAAAGAAAUCGAAUUGUAUGGACCUACUUGCAUUGUUCAUUCAACACAGUCGAGGAAUGCAUUUUGAGAAUGUGUCUAUUUUGCUUAAUGCAUUAGCUACGAUGCUAGCAGACGGGUUACUGACGUUACUGCUGGCGCGAUAAACAAGAGAGAUUAUACAUGUAUUGAAGAGAGAAAAUUUACCGGACUGAUGAAAAACUGCAUGAAUUCCGCAAACAGGUAGAUCUCAAUAUUCCUAUCCUUUUACAUUUCCGCGAAUUUUUUCUCAUUUUUUCCUCUUUUUUUAUAUUUUCUAUUUUUUGGUACAUUUACAAAUUACAAGUCGUUUAUACGAUAUAUAUUAUAUUUUGGAGCUUUAAAACCUUGUCCUCAAUGUAAAGGAUAACUCGAAUACAAUUUUGGUUUGGGUUUAAAAUACACUGGUAAUGCAAUAGAAUUGACUAAAUGCGAAUAUGUUACACAGGAUCCAAAAAGAGUAGAGUGCGUAAUACCGAGUGAAAUGAUGAAAAAAUCCCGACUUAAGUAAAUCCUUUUAUUAGACAAGGACAUUGAGUAACAAAAAUUUUUUAAUAAAAAAUUAAAUUAUUUGCUUAAAAAUUAUAUGGAUUAAAAAAUAAAAUGGAUUCACUCCUGUCAAAAGUUUGUGAUGGAUCAUCUAAUGAUAGACAAAAGGUUGUUAUCCUCAAUGAAAAUGAUGAGUCCGAGGAAAUUUCUUUACAAAUUUCUUUUUUACCAA